rnacentral:lncRNA from 1 species
GCUGUGUUGCAUUCCCUUCUCAACAUGAACCUCAAGAACCUUCUUCUCCUGAACGACCUUCUCACCCUUGCACCCUGGGCAGCGGUCCUUCUCGUUGAUGCUCUCCCCAGUCCCCUUGCACUCGUUGCAAGGCUGCUGCAUCUGCUGUAUCAUGGAAGGCCCCAGCUGACGAAUGGUGACUUUCAUACCUGAGCCCUGGCACCCAGGGCACCUCAUUGAAGCACCAGACUUCGAGCCCUUGCUGAAGAAAGAAGAAAGAAUGAUCAGCCGAAGGUUUUUGAAAAAAAAAAUGAUUCGAUUAAACGAGAAGGGCAAAAGGACCUAACCCCUUGCACUUGGAGCAGAUGACAUUGCGCGAAAGAGAGAGCUUCUUUGAGAUUCCAUUGUAAAGAUCUUCCAGAGAAACUUUAAGUGAGUGGACUACAUCUUCUCCCCUCCUUUGCCUUCUUCCCCUGCUGCUUCCACCACCUCCUGCAACGAAAACAUAUAUAAGCCAGUUAUCACAUUGAUAAUGAAGCAUAACAAAAAAAAAGGGGCACAGAUGAAUAUGGUACAAUACCUCCAAAAGAGGGUCCAAAGAAUGAUGAGAAAAUGUCAAAUGGAUCAGCAUGGGACCCACCACCACCCAUUCCUUCCUUAAGGGCAUCUUCACCAUACUGAUCAUAAAUCUCACGUUUCUCUGGAUCACUCAAAACCUCAUAGGCUUGUGCGAGCUCCUUGAACUGAUAUAAAUUAAAAACAAAGCUUUUACUCUACAAAUCAUGGAUCAAAAAAGAAAUUUACCAGAUAGACUGAACCAGUUGAGGGAGGGAACAGAUACCAUCACAUAUGUCACUUCUAUAUAUUUUUGUUACUAAACAAAAUUGUCAUUGUAUAAAACAACUGUAUUAUGGCAUACAAUAUAAGCAAGUAAGAAAGGGAAAAAUCAUAUAGCAUGCAAUAACAAUAUUACUGGCUCAAAUAAUGUGGUGGAAACGCAUAUGUAUCAGCUACAACAAAACUCAAAAAGUUUUAAUAUACAAGACAAAUAAGAAAUAAAGCCAACGACCUCCAGAUGAUUAUUACCAAACAGGCGAACCUUGUAAGCUUUACAAGAUAAGAAAACACAUAAUAGGCUGCAUAAGGCUAUCUCCAGCAGCUUACUCAUAUCCAUACCCAUAUUCAAACUCCACUCUGCGAACAGUACACUCUACAGUGCAGAACAGUGUAAAACAGUGCUUUUGGGUAAACUUUGGGUAGACUGCUGCAGACGGCCUAACAGACAGGAAAGGCACAAGCACAUCCAAAACAACGAUCAAAAUAAUCAUUGGACGACAAACCAGCUGGACCAUUAUUUGCCAUUCUAUGUGAUAUCAACACCUGCAAAAAUUUCAACCAGGGCCACAAGGACAAGGAUAACUUCCCUACAUGAAACUAUCAACAAGGGAUUCAGACAUGACUCGUCCUGCAUGAUAAAGUAGGGUACUGAAAACAUAACACCACUGCUGUCUGCUAACAGUUGUGUGAGUUUAUUUUCCAAAGAUAUUACACAAUGUAUCCGAGGGUAAAGUACAAAGAUAUUGAACAUCUUCUGGAUGACCACAGAUACCUCGUUGAAACAUCCAGGUGACACGAAGGGUAGGUUUCCAUGACAAUGUAACACAACCAUUAUAGAGUAAUAAAUAUCGGGGGAAAUGGAUUAUAACCACCACACAUCUUAAACCCCACACACCCGCACUAGCUGUUGACAGAUAGGCCCCAAGGCCCCAACUGACAGUGUAUUUCAUCCAAUAAAACAAAACUACUACGCAAUAGUUACUCUUCAAGCGAGCAACCGCCGGUCCAAAAUGAACAAUUGCAGGCACUGCUAAAAAACGAUGCACCUUAUCCUGCACCUGCUGCAGAGUUGCCCGUCAACGAGAAGAAAAUACUAGCCAAUAAGCGUGUGUGAAGUGAGUCAUAAGUUCAUAACACAUGACCACGAGAACCGCACAUGGCAUGCAAGCUAAAAAGCUGUUCUCUUUCACCUGCCUAUGAUUCUGACCACAGCAAGCACAUGGAGAUGGCAGUCACGAGUCUCCACACAACUAGGGUCGCAAUCACGGUACACAACAUGACCGCGCACAGCACAAACCUAUCGCAUGCAACAAGAACUACAAAUCACCGUUGAAACUAGAAGCACCAAUGAAUCUACCGAACGAUCACAUCAUCAGGCCCGUGCGAGGGCAUGUGCAGCCAAAGUCCAAAAACAGGGGGCCUCCCUCUAAAGGCCCCCCAAAAUACUAGUCAGCAAUAGUUUAGACAAUGCACAGUACAGUAAUGAGUAGAAGGUCUAGCUAAGUUAGCUCGGCAAGGAAAAAACAUACGUGCUGUUUGGUUCGGCAACCGGUAGUGGCAAUGGGAAUGGAACUUAUUCACCUGCUAUCCUUUACUGUGAAUGGUUACCGGUCUAUGUUUGGUUGCAGCGUUGGAUCCAAAAAGACAGAUCGGCGUUGGCUAGCAGUCAAAAAGCAGCGGUGAUGAUUUUGUAUUGGCUGGUAUUGCAUCCCACUGCAAUCGUUUACGGUAUAGUCUAACCAAACAUAAAGCAAUGGUAAUAGAUUACCCUGUUAACUGAUUACGGCACUGAAUCAACGAACCAAACAGCACCAUAGUGUUUGUCAUGGCGGCCGAUGCCAAUCUCUCGUGCAACUCGUUUUGGCUAUGUGACGAAGUGCAGCCCGCGUAUGCUGGCUUAACAUCUGGACGCUAGGAUCAUCCGUUACCAUUAUGAAGCCACUUCCCAGGCACGACAAAAAAAAUGUUUGAUGUAAAGAAAAACGUGUUUGCGUCCGUCAGAAGAACGUACACCCCUUCACAUGUUAAUGGAUCAAUCACUGUUAAUAGACGAGAUAAAUCUAUAUCAUAGAUCCUUAACAGAGAAAAAAAUCGUUACAGGACCUUGAAUUAUGCCGGCCCGGCCCUGCACAUCAUGGACACGGGAUGAGGGACCUAAACAUCAUCAGGACCCACGCGCGACCCUUCCUAAAGGUGAAUCUACCAAACGCAACUGAACCUCGAUCUACCGCAGCGGAUCGCGCCAGAUCGGAUCAAGGACAGAUCGGAAGAGGGGAGAGGGGGGUGGAAAACCUUCUCGGGGUCACCGCCCUUGUCGGGGUGGUUCUUGAUAGCUGCCUUGCGGUAGGCCUUCUUGAGGUCGUCCUGGGACGCCGACUUGGGCACCCCGAGGAUCUCGUAGUACUUGGUGUUGUCGCUCUUCUUCGGCGCGCGCCCGAACAUCUUGCCUUUGGCUUUGCCGCCGCCGCCGC